rnacentral:rRNA from 1 species
CAAUAGCGUAUAUUAAAGUUGUUGCAGUUAAAAAGCUCGUAGUUGGAUUUCUGCCAGGGUGCCAAUGUCCGCCGAAGUGCGUGCGCAGCGGCGCCCUCGCAUCCUUCUGUUAACGCCUCUCGGCAUUUACUUGCCGGUGGUGGGCUCAGAUAAUUUACCUUGAGAUAAUUAGAGUGUUUCAGGCAGGCUAGGCCGGAAUACAUUAGCAUGGAAUAAUGGAAUAGGACUACGGUCUCGUUGUUGGUUUGAGGGACUGGAGUAAUGAUUAAUAGGGAUAGUUGGGGGCAUUAGUAUUUAAUUGUCAGAGGUGAAAUUCUCAGAUUUGUUAAAGACUAACUUAUGCGAAAGCAUUUGCCAAGGAUGUUUUCAUUAA